UGGGGAAUAUUGGACAAUGGGCGAAAGCCUGAUCCAGCAAUGCCGCGUGAGUGAUGAAGGCCUUAGGGUUGUAAAGCUCUUUUACCAGGGAUGAUAAUGACAGUACCUGGAGAAUAAGCUCCGGCUAACUACGUGCCAGCAGCCGCGGUAAUACGUAGGGACUAAGCGUUGUUCGGAUUUACUGGGCGUAAAGGGCGCGUAGGCGGCAAUUCAAGUCAUCUGUGAAAUCUCCGGGCUUAACUCGGAACGGUCAGAUGAUACUGCUUUGCUAGAGUGCAGAAGGGGCAAUCGGAAUUCUUGGUGUAGCGGUGAAAUGCGUAGAUAUCAAGAGGAACACCUGAGGUGAAGACGGGUUGCUGGGCUGACACUGACGCUGAGGCGCGAAAGCCAGGGGAGCAAACGGGAUUAGAUACCCAUGUAGUCCCUGAGCGGGCUGGCAAGGCGCAU
rnacentral:rRNA from 1 species